rnacentral:rRNA from 1 species
GCUAAAAACCUAGCCCAAUUAAUGCAAAUGCCUCAACACACCAACUGCAAUAAAACAAAACAUUCUAAACUUUUAGUAAAGGCGAUUGAAAAAUACCUAGGAGCUAUAACAACAGUACCGCAAGGGAAAGAUGAAAUAAAAAUGAAAUAACUUUAAAGCAAAAUUAAGCAGAGACACAACCUCGUACCUUUUGCAUCAUGGUCUAGCUAGUCGAACCAAGCAAAACGCACUUACAGUUUGACACCCCGAAACUAGGUGAGCUACUUCAAAACAGCCUUCAAGGGCCAACCCAUCUCUGUUGCAAAAGAGUGGGAAGAUUUUCAAGUAGAGGUGACAGACCUACCGAGCCUAGAGAUAGCUGGUUAUUCAGGAAAAGGAUUUAAGUCCUACCUUAAGCUUUGUCAUAUUCUCAAAUACCAAUUAAAACUUAAGAGCUAUUCAAAUAAGGUACAGCCUAUUUGAAACAGGAGACAACCUCGAAUAUAGGGUAAUGAUAUUCUUCACAUGAUCAAGUGGGCCUAAAAGCAGCCAACUUUCAAAAAGCGUUAAAGCUUCAUCAUUUAAUAUGACUAAUCCCUAAACCUACACAAAACCCUUUACCACUACUGAAUGACUCCAUAACUUUAUGGAGGACACUAUGCUAGAACUAGUAAUAAGAAGAAGACCUUCUCCAAAAUGUAAGUGUAAGCCAGAAUGAACCCCUCACUGGCAAUUACCGUCUAUGAGUCAACAGUAGUAACCCCCCAAGAAAACUCUACUAUCCUUGACGUUAAUCUUACACAAGGACAUUACUGGAAAGAUUAAAAAAAGAGGAAGGAACUCGGCAAAUUUUAACCCCGCCUGUUUACCAAAAACAUCGCCUCCUGAGACAACUAUAGGAGGUCCAGCCUGCCCAGUGACAAAGUUAAACGGCCGCGGUACCCUAACCGUGCGAAGGUAGCGCAAUCACUUGUUCUUUAAAUGAGGACUAGUAUGAAUGGCAUCACGAGGGUUAUACUGUCUCCCCCUUUUAAUCAAUGAAACUGAUCUCCCCGUGAAGAAGCGGGGAUAAGCCUAUAAGACGAGAAGACCCCAUGGAGCUUAAAACUCAGUACCAACUGCCUCAUUAUAUAUCCAUUAAACCAAGCAGAUAUGGCUGCUAGUUUUCGGUUGGGGUGACCGCGGAGCAAAACAAAACCUCCACGAUGAAAGGAACUAACCUCCUAAUCAAAGAACCACACUUCUAAGAAUCAACAAAUUGACAUUAAUUGAUCCAAUUUUUUUGAUCAACGAACCAAGUUACCCUGGGGAUAACAGCGCAAUCCAUUUCAAGAGCCCCUAUCGACAAAUGGGUUUACGACCUCGAUGUUGGAUCAGGGUAUCCUAGUGGUGCAGCCGCUACUAAAGGUUCGUUUGUUCAACGAUUAAAACCCU